rnacentral:rRNA from 1 species
UACAGAGGGUGCGAGCGUUGUCCGGAAUCACUGGGCGUAAAGGGCGCGUAGGCGGCUCGGUAAGGUUGCGGUGAAAGCCCGGGGCUCAACCUCGGGUCGGCCGUGGCAACUGCUGAGCUGGAGCACUGUAGAGGCAGGUGGAAUUCCGGGUGUAGCGGUGGAAUGCGUAGAGAUCCGGAAGAACACCGGUGGCGAAGGCGGCCU